GACGAACGCUGGCGGCGUGCUUAACACAUGCAAGUCGAACGGUGACGCGCCUUCCUUUUUGGUGGGUGUGGAUGAGUGGCGAACGGGUGAGUAACACGUGAGUAACCUGCCCCCUUCUUCUGGAUAACCGCAUGAAAGUUUGGCUAAUACGGGAUAUUCUGGGCCUGUCGCAUCAUGGGUUCGUGAAAGCUUUUGUGUCGGUGGGGGCUGGGCUCGCGGCCUAUCAGCUUGUUGGUGUGGUGAUGGCCUACCAAGGCGGUGACGGGUAGCCGGCCUGAGAGGGUGGGCGGUCACGCUGGGACUGAGACACGGACCAGACUACGACGGGAAGCAGCAGGGGGGAAUAUAGCACAAUGGGAGCAAGGCUGAUGCAGCGCCGCCGCGGGAGAGAUGGAGGCCUUCUGGUAGUGAACCUCUUUCGCCAGUGAAGCGGGGCUGCCUCGUUUGUGGGUGGGUUGACGGUAGCUGGAUAAGAAGCGCCGGCUAACUACGUG
rnacentral:rRNA from 1 species